CUGAACCAUCGCCAUCCUCGCCGUCCGGCCACCGCCCACCGGCAAACGGCGGCCUCGCUCCCGCUCCGGCGGGCUGCGGGGGCAGAGGCAGGCCGCGGGAGACCGAGAGGCCUACCGUCCGGUGACUCCUAGCUCGAGGCCACCCGCGGGCUAUGCUCCUGAUUCCUGAGGUAAAUCAAAGCUAGUGGAGUACCAUGGCUUGGUUGAUUCUCCAGUGUUGUUUAGAGAUCGGGGAAGGUGGCUUCAAAUGCUUGGUUGAGAUUUAUGGCGUUUCUCGAUGCGGUAUUGCAGUGUCGUUUGGUUGCGGAUUAGCGGCCCGCGCGUGGUGGAUUGGAGAUACAGCACUCGAAAUAUAGUCACAACUUGAUACUGCAGGUACAUUUGUAUUCAUGCAUAAUCGUGACAUGAUUCGGUUACUAUCAGAUUUCAGUUUAUUUUAGUUCCUUCCAGUUUUCUACUUAUUGAAGCAGAUUGUAUUAACUCAAUUUCACUACUACAUCACAAAGCUGGACAAUCAAGUAAGUUUUGCCUGGCCUGGGGUGUCAAUAUGUCAUCUUGCUGGGGCUGGAGCCACUGAAUUAGCCUUGCUGAAGUGAGAACCACUUGAGAUCACUAGCCACUGCUUAUCUUCUAACCAGCAUGGCACAUUAUUUAUCGACUUGAUCAUAACUGGUUUAGCCAAAAUAUCUGGGCAUGGUUAUCUGAUCAUAUAGCACACCUACUCCAAAGAACACACCAAAUGCAAUUGCAAACACUACCUUGUCAAUAUACUGCUUUGCGGAGAUAGGGGUUGUUGGAGCUGCUACCGCUGAAUUGCAAUGGUGUUCAAGCAUAGGGCUGCAUAGCUUUGGGUUCCCAGCAAAACUAGAACUUAGGAAUGUGCUGAACUGGCCUCCAAUUGGUACAGGCCCUUCAAGGUCAUUGUAGGAAACAUUGAAUUCAGAAAGGA
rnacentral:lncRNA from 1 species